UAUUUCCUUUUCACUUUCUGCUAUGGGCUCUUCACCUUCUUCUCAUAAACCAGACAUCACUCAAGAUGGUCGUGUCUUGGAUUAAUAGUUUACAAGCUGAAUGUAAAAGAGAACUUGAUUUGCAGAUACUUUAAUUGAAUGUAUUUUUUAUUUUUAUUUUUUUUAAAAUGAGAAUAUAUAGGCAACCUACAAUUGUUAUAUCUAAAGUGAAAUUCUUUAUGGCUAUGUUCUUCGACAUUGAAUGAUGAUGGGACUAUUAAAGGAACCCUAAUUAUAACUAUUUCAGUACAAUGGUUACAAUUCAUAUGAA